rnacentral:rRNA from 1 species
GACGAACGCUGGCGGCGUGCCUAAUACAUGCAAGUCGAGCGAAGUUUUUCUGGUGCUUGCACUAGAAAAACUUAGCGGCGCACGGGUGAGUAACACGUAAAGAACCUGCCUCAUAGACUGGGACAACUAUUGGAAACGAUAGCUAAUACCGGAUAACAGUAUUUCUCGCAUGAGAGAUAUUUAAAAGUUGGUUAUGCUAACACUAUGAGAUGGCUUUGCGGUGCAUUAGCUAGUUGGUGGGGUAAAGGCCCACCAAGGCGACGAUGCAUAGCCGACCUGAGAGGGUGAUCGGCCACACUGUGACUGAGACACGGCCCAGACUCCUACGGGAGGCAGCAGUAGGGAAUCUUCCGCAAUGGGCGAAAGCCUGACGGAGCAACGCCGCGUGAGUGAAGAAGGAUUUCGGUUCGUAAAGCUCUGUUGUUAGGGAAGAAUGGAUAUGUAGUAACUAUACAUGUAAGAGACGGUACCUAACCAGAAAGCCACGGCUAACUACGUG